GCCUACGGGGGGCAGCAGUGGGGGAUAUUGCACAAUGGGGGGAACCCUGAUGCAGCGACGCCGCGUGGGUGAAGAAGCGCCUCGGCGCAUAAAGCCCUGUCAGCAGGGAAGAAAAUGACGGUACCUGAAGAAGAAGCCCCGGCUAACUACGUGCCAGCAGCCGCGGUAAUACGUAGGGGGCAAGCGUUAUCCGGAUUUACUGGGUGUAAAGGGGGCGCAGACGGCGAUGCAAGCCAGGAGUGAAAGCCCGGGGCCCAACCCCGGGACUGCUCUUGGAACUGCGUGGCUGUAGUGCAGGAGGGGCG
rnacentral:rRNA from 1 species